GGUGAUUGAGAGCAAGCUACAGAGAAAUACACAGCCAAUAAUUUGCUAAGGCAAGCAGUGGAAGUGAGGAAACAAAUAGAAAGUGGCUGGCUAAGUUGGUCAGCCACCGAGUAAAGGAGCCUCGAAGUGUCCAGCACCGAAUGAAGAAUUAGAAGCCGAGUGAAGAAAGCUGUGGAAUGUCUGAUAAUAGCAACAAAACUGAGUGGUGAGGCCUUGAAAUUUCUGUCACCGACUGUAUUUAGAGUACCAACCGAGAGAGUGAGGGAGAGAACUCUGCAUCUUUUCUUCCUUAGACAGCAACAACCGAGAAACAAAACAGAGCAACCGGAUAACUUUCCCAUUUCUACAUUCUUUAGCCGAUCAAAACUGAGAGCUAAAGUGAAGGUUAGGAAGAGAAACUUGCUCGUUCCAUCACUGAUUAGCUCCAGCCGAGAGGAAGAGUCAAAGUUGCUGCAAUUUUAGGAGGAACCGGAACUUAAAACAAUCUGCCUCUGGUGAAACUUAACGGAGAAGGUAAGAAACUUCAACAAUCUUGUGCUACUUAUCUGGUAUAACUGAAAGUAGUGGCUGCAUGUUGGUUUUUAGCCAGGAAUAAUAAGAUUUAGCUGAAGGGAAUUCUGAUAAGGAAGAAAAAUGGGAGCUGGACUGAAGUUGAGGAACCGAGAGCUUGCAUGGUUGAUUUGCAGCCUGUGAUUACUGUAAAAUGGAAAACUAUGUUGGGUAAUGCAUGUAACAUGUUAGCUUUAUGUGUUAAGGGGAUUUUAGUUGAAGAAACUUGAGGAAAGUUCGAAAUUUUGGGGUUGAAACCGUAGGAAGAAACCUGCUGGAAAUUUUUCCAGGUUAACCGAGAGAAAGAAAAGAAAAGGUUUCUAGCUGUCCACAUGGAUUUGUGGCCUCGAAACUCUAUGUUAAACUGUAAUAUAUAUCAUAUAAUGGCUUGGUUUGAACAUGCAUGAAAGAUUUGAACAUAAAUUGAAGAGAUUAUUGGAGAAAAUUGUGUCAACGUGACUGCUACCAGAAUUUUGGAACAUGGCCGAGGGGGGGAAAUCAGCAUCUGAACCAGCGUUGCUUUUCAAUUUCCCUUGGCUGUAAACUUUAGAUCCCUGCUGAAAGUACCCUGUAGUUUGAUAACCAAUCCUUGCAUGUUGAACUUAACGAAAGAAAACUGAAGGAAUCUGUGUUUAAGAGCUGAGUGGCUGUUAAAAUCUUUCCAGCAUGGCCGAGAGAAGGAGUUGAGCAUCUGAUCAGUUUUUCCUUCGAAGUUUAGCUGCAAUUUUUAUACUUGUUGUUGAAGAUUACCUUGUAAGCUUGUUCAUUAUAUAUUUGCAUGUUGAGUUGAAGUUAAAACUGAAGAAAGAACCGAAUCUUUAACUGUCUUAUGGCUGAAGGUUUACUUAGCUAAUGACAGAAUUAGUUGUGGCUUUUGGGUUGAAUAAUCCGUUGAAACUAGAUGCUAAUUGCUUUGGUAUAUGCUGGAAUGAAUGUAACUUAAGUAUAUAGAGAUUUAAGCAAGUGAAAGAAUAGAGUUUUUGCUUAAAGGCUUGAAAUAACAUUACUGGAAAUUUGUGAUUUGUCUGUCUAGUUGGGGCAUGAAAGUGAAAGGAAAGACUUGAGAAAACAAAAAAUGUUGGACCGUUACACUGCUAGAAAAUUUAGUUGGGGAAUGCUACAGCUGAUAACAGCUUUUGUAUGUGAUUUUGGCCGAAUAACAUGCUGAAAUUAUGAGUUAUUCACCUUAGUUCAUGUUGAACAGAAUGUAUACCAAGUGACUAAUAUUUGAGUAAGUGAAAGAUGGAAUUUGUUGAAGAUUUAGAAACAUUUGAUCUAAAAUUCUUGCUUUGGCUGACCGAAUGUGUGAAGAGAUGAAGCUCUCAUGAAACUUUUGAAAAUUUAUGUUGAAUGGUUGUGAAUUUAUAUGGAGCAUCUUAUAGUAUCUUGAAACUAUUUUAUGAGUAUUUUAAAGAACUUAAAACUGAAAAAUUAGUAAAAUUUAAACGAGAUUUAAACUAUUGGCAACUUGGAAUCUAGUUUAAUCCAAAAAGAAAAGAAUGAAAAGUCAAUUUGCCUUAAUCUUAGAAUAUUGGAUAGAAAAUGGUUUAAUCUUAGGUUAAACGUUUUAUAAGACUAUAAACUUGGAAUAUGCAUAUUUCUUGGUUUAAAAUGAUGAAGUCAAUAAGUCGAAAUGAAAUAUAGAAUAAAUAUUGAAUCUCUUAUAUUUUAUAUUUUAAAGUCAAACUUGACUUUAAUCGAUCAAAUAAUAUGAUAAUAAAUAAUAAGUGAACAUCUACAAAUUAUAUAUUUACUUUGGAAUUAUGAACUUAUCCCAGGAAGUAGCUGUGAGCCAGGAAAUGAACACGAGGCUCGAGAAUAAUUUAUUUGGAUAUUUGUUGAGUGUUUUCCGAAUUUAUGUGUUAAACUGCUUAUGUGUACCUAAGUGCAAUUAUAUGGCGAAUGUGAUUAUUAUGAAAUAUUGUUAAGUGAUUCAUUGUGAAGUGUUUUCAAUUGUCCCUCGCCUUCUAAGUCGGGAGUGUACUUUAUCGCACUCGGCUUAGUUGAGCUUGAAGGUUGAUAAUUGAUCAAGUGAUAUUGUAAGUGUGCAUGACUGUAAGCCAUGUGUGUACUUUAUCACACUGGCUGAACUGGGCCCCAAAAUCCUCUGUUCAACGGACUAUUCGAGCCAGUAAAGGGCUUGGUCGGGUAGGACGGUAGCUUUGGGUAAGUGUUUCGGUAUACUCGAGUAUUACCACGGAGUAGCAGAUUACUGAUAUUGAUAUGGCCAUCCAAGUGAGGGAAGUGUUUAUUGUUUUGGAGGUUAUAAGGAGGAGUUCGGCGGAGUGUGUAGUGCAUUGAAGUGGCUCUAAUGCGAGCACCGUAUCCUUUUAAAAAGUGAUCGUUCAGUGAAAUGAUUCCUCAAUUGCUUAAUGAAAGUGAUUGUACAGUGAAAUGUGCACUACUUGCUUAAUUGUAUUGAUUUAAGUGCUUAUUGAUUGUUGCUUGCAUGGAAACCUCACGGGCGUAAGCUCACCCUUUUAGCUUUGUUUUCCUUACAGGAGUCAAAGAUUGAAGAGUGAUUGGAUUGAACUAGAAAGUUAUUUUGGGAAGAUCCAUUAUUUUGUGUAUAUAGUGUCGGCAUGGUCUUUUGAAUUCUGAGACGGUUAAAUUUUUGUUUGAGUUGGUGUGAUAUUAAGAAUGGAUAUUUAGAACAGGUAUUUUAUUUGUUUUAUUGGACAAAUUUAUGUUUCAAACUGAUUGGAGAUGUACUUAAGAGUGAAUGUUCAGUUGUCCAAUGGUAAUGUUAUCUCUGAAGUUAAUG
rnacentral:lncRNA from 1 species